CGCGAACGCUGUCGGCGUGCCUAACACAUGCAAGUCGUGGGGCAGCAGGCGGAUUCCAAAAGGAAUCCGUGCUGGCAACCGGCGAACGGGUGAGUAACGCGUGAGUAACCUACCCCGAGGUGGGGGAUAACCCGGGGAAACCCGGGCUAAUACCCCAUAAGCACACAUCCUGCACGGGAUGCGUGAAAAGGUGGCCUCUGCACUGCAAGCUGCCGCCUCGGGAUGGGCUCGCGUCCCAUCAGGUAGUUGGUGAGGUAACGGCUCACCAAGCCUACGACGGGUAGCCGGCCUGAGAGGGUGGUCGGCCACACCGGGACUGAGACACGGCCCGGACUCCUACGGGAGGCAGCAGUGGGGAAUCUUGGGCAAUGGGCGCAAGCCUGACCCAGCGACGCCGAGUGGAGGAAGAAGCCCUUCGGGGUGUAAACUCCUGUCGCCGGGGACGAUGCAGAUGUGGGUUAAUAGCUCACACCUGUGACGGUACCCGGAGAGGAAGGGACGGCUAACUACGUGCCAGCAGCCGCGGUAAUACGUAGGUCCCGAGCGUUGCGCGAAAUUACUGGGCGUAAAGAGCGCGUAGGCGGACCAGUAAGUCAAAGGUGAAAGCCCCCGGCUCAACCGGGGAAUUGCCUCUGAUACUGCUGGUCUAGGGUCCGGAAGAGGCUGGCGGAAUUCCCGGUGUAGCGGUGAAAUGCGUAGAUAUCGGGAGGAAUACCGGUGGCGAAGGCGGCCAGCCAGGACGGUACCGACGCUGAGGCGUGAAAGCGUGGGGAGCGAACCGGAUUAGAUACCCGGGUAGUCCACGCUGUAAACGAUGGAUGCUGGGCGUUGUGCCCGAAUGGGUGCGGUGCCGAAGCUAACGCGUUAAGCAUCCCGCCUGGGGAGUACGGCCGCAAGGCUGAAACUCAAAGGAAUAGACGG
rnacentral:rRNA from 1 species